rnacentral:rRNA from 1 species
UUGCACGCUGGCGGCAUGCUUUACACAUGCCAGUCGAACGGUAACAGGCCGCAAGGUGCUGACGAGUGGCGAACGGGUGAGUAAUGCAUCGGAACGUGCCCAGUCGUGGGGGAUAACUACUCGAAAGAGUAGCUAAUACCGCAUACGAUCUAUGGAUGAAAGCGGGGGACCGUAAGGCCUCGCGCGAUUGGAGCGGCCGAUGUCAGAUUAGGUAGUUGGUGGGGUAAAGGCUCACCAAGCCAACGAUCUGUAGCUGGUCUGAGAGGACGACCAGCCACGCUGGGACUGAGACACGGCCCAGACUCCUACGGGAGGCAGCAGUGGGGAAUUUUGGACAAAGGGCGCAAGCCUGAUCCAGCAAUGCCGCGUGCAGGAAGAAGGCCUUCGGGUUGUAAACUGCUUUUGUACGGAACGAAACGGCUCUGGUUAAUACCCGGGGCUAAUGACGGUACCGUAAGAAUAAGCACCGGCUAACUACGUG